UACGGAGGGUGCAAGCGUUAUCCGGAUUCACUGGGUUUAAAGGGUGCGUAGGAGGGCAGGUAAGUCAGUGGUGAAAUCUCCAAGCUUAACUUGGAAACUGCCGUUGAUACUAUCUGUCUUGAAUAUUGUGGAGGUGAGCGGAAUAUGUCAUGUAGCGGUGAAAUGCUUAGAUAUGACAUAGAACACCAAUUGCGAAGGCAGCUUACUACACAAUGAUUGACACUGAGGCACGAAAGCGUGGGGAUCAAACAGG
rnacentral:rRNA from 1 species